rnacentral:rRNA from 1 species
GAUGAACGCUGGCGGCGUGCCUAAUACAUGCAAGUCGAGCGAACAGACGAGGAGCUUGCUCCUCUGACGUUAGCGGCGGACGGGUGAGUAACACGUGGAUAACCUACCUAUAAGACUGGGAUAACUUCGGGAAACCGGAGCUAAUACCGGAUAAUAUAUUGAACCGCAUGGUUCAAUAGUGAAAGACGGUUUUGCUGUAACUUAUAGAGGGUUCCGCGCCGCAUUAGCUAGUUGGUAAGGUAAAGGCCUACCAAGGCCACGAUGCGUAGCCGAACUGUGAGGGGGGUAGGCCACCCGUGAAGUGGAACACCGUCCUGGAUCCUGAGGGACGGCCCAGUAGGGGACUCUACGCAAUAGGGGGAAAUCUUGCCGAAUGACCGCGAGCGUGAUGAAGCAGCUCUGCGUUCGGGAAAACGGCGUUUUAGGGAAGAACAAAUGUGUAAGUAACUAUGCACGUCUUGACGGUACCUAAUCAGAAAGCCACGGCUAACUACGUG